UCCUACCAUCUCCUCUUCUAACAGAUUGAUUGCUCCUCAACUCACACUGUCGUCAAAGGCACAUGAAGAUGGCCGGGCCAGCUGUCUGACUGUCCAGACGGAGAGGACGGCGCUGUGAAAGUGAUUAGAGUACCACCACCCGUCCAUUCAAAGCAUUUGUUGUUUAAAUGGGGAGGGGGGGGGGGCACAGCAAAUACAAAUGUGAGACACACAUACUCUGUAGGGUAGUGUGUUUGAUCUGUUAGACAACUGACAAAUCCUUUUAUCAUCCCAUCAGCAUCAUUAAGGAGGCCCUUAGGAUUGUGUGUGUGUGUGUGUGUCGGGUUGUGUGUGCGUGUAGUGCACAUACAGGCACACAAUCAGCUCCCUCAUCUAGCUCCCAUUCCACCAGGGACUCUCCUCGUCUGCCCGUGUAAGAGCCCUCUCUCAGUGCGGAGACGCGGACACAGAGGGACUGUCUGCCUGGGUGAUGGAUGAAGGGACGUGGGGUAGGACAGGAGAAAUGGGACGGGAGAGAGGGAGGGAUGGAGGAGGACGAGGGAGAGAGGGAUACUGAGAGGGAGAUGGAGGAGGAGAGACCUGAGGAGUUUCAGGGCAGGCUCCCCUCAGUUGAAUGACUCCCCUCAGUUGUCCCUACAGAAAGGACAGAGGGAGAAAGGGAGAAAGGGAGAGGAAAGACGUGGGAGGGGGGAGUUGUCUGAGGGAUAGUAGAGGGCUUCACUGUAACAUAUGGUAAAGGAUGGAGGGAGUGCAUUAGAGUGGGAGCAGAAUGGAGAGAUGCCAAGGAAGAAGCAAUUAUGGAGCAAAAAGGGAUGGAUGGAGAGGCAGUACAGGGCCAGGAGGAGUUACAGAGGGAUGAAGGAGGGGCAGUAUAGGGCCAGGAGGAGUUACAGAGGGAUGAAGGAGAGGCAGUACAGGGCCAGGAGGAGUUACAGAGGGAUGAAGGAGAGGCAGUACAGGGCCAGGAGGAGUUAAAGAGGGAUGAAGGAGAGGCAGUACAGGGCCUGGAGAAGUUACAGAGGGAUGAAUGAGAGACAGUACAAGGCUAGGAGGAGUUAAAGAGGGAUGAAGGAGGGGCAGUACAGGGCCAGGAGGAGUAGAGAGGGAUGAUCGAGAGGCAGUACAGGGCAAGGAGGAGUAGAGAGGGAUGAAGGAGAGUUAGUACAGGGCCAGGAGGAGUAGAGAGGGAUGAUGGAGAGGCAGUAAAGUGCCAGGAGGAGUUACAGAGGGAUGAAGGAGAGGCAGUAAGGACAGAUGGAGUCAGACAUGUGAGGGAGAGAGGCACAAAAUUACAGAGAGAAAGGAGCACACGUCCUUUGAGAUCAUAUGACAGAGAGGAAGUGAAGUCACUAGACAGCACGAGACCGCGGGAUCACAGCCACAUGUCUUUCUGUCAGUCUGUGAGCAGACAGGGUGCUAUGGAACAAACCGAACCCCAGGGACACAGUGGUACUUCCUGAAUAUCUGCUGAACAGACAUGGAUCUAUAAAACAAAUCCUGACAGGUUAAGGACCAGGAAAGGACAGACUGACUGAAAGACUAACAGAGAAAUAAAGUUGAGAUGGGAACGGGGGGGGGGGGGGGGGGCAACAGAAGUGAGAGAGGGACAACAACAACAAAAAAAACAGGGGAAAAAGUAGAAAGAGAGAGGAACCUAAAAAAAUCUAGAGAGCUUGCUGCCUUGAUUGUUAUGUAUCUAGGCGUGGGGAUCUGUCAUCUGUAAUGAAGCACACACAGAACAUUUCCUCACCUGUUCCCUCAACCCUGGGCUGUAACCCAUUAGCGUAGCACAAUGCUACGUGCCAUAUCCAACUAAUGGGGUUAGCCAUUUUUCUCUUUCUGCUCCUUUCCGUCUCCCACUCCUCUUUCCCUCUUUCUCUACUCACUUCUGUCUCUCUCCCACUCUCCUCCUACUCCCCCUCUUGCUCAUCAUUCUACUCCCCUGUUUCUCCAUCUCCCUGGGGUUGUGUCUUUCCUCACACUUUUA
ensembl:lncRNA